GAUGAACGCUGGCGGCGUGCCUAAUACAUGCAAGUCGAGCGAACAGACGAGGAGCUUGCUCCUUUGACGUUAGCGGCGGACGGGUGAGUAACACGUGGGUAACCUACCUAUAAGACUGGGAUAACUUCGGGAAACCGGAGCUAAUACCGGAUAAUAUUUCGAACCGCAUGGUUCGAUAGUGAAAGAUGGCUUUGCUAUCACUUAUAGAUGGACCUGCGCCGUAUUAGCUAGUUGGUAAGGUAACGGCUUACCAAGGCAACGAUACGUAGCCGACCUGAGAGGGUGAUCGGCCACACUGGAACUGAGACACGGACCAGACUCCUACGGGAGGCAGCAGUAGGGAAUCUUCCGCAAUGGGCGAAAGCCUGACGGAGCAACGCCGCGUGAGUGAUGAAGGUCUUCGGAUCGUAAAACUCUGUUAUUAGGGAAGAACAAACGUGUAAGUAACUGUGCACGUCUUGACGGUACCUAAUCAGAAAGCCACGGCUAACUACGUG
rnacentral:rRNA from 1 species